rnacentral:misc_RNA from 1 species
GAUGAAGAACGCAGCGAAAUGCGAUAAGUAAUGUGAAUUGCAGAAUUCAGUGAAUCAUCGAAUCUUUGAACGCACAUUGCGCCCGCCAGUAUUCUGGCGGGCAUGCCUGUCCGAGCGUCAUUUCAACCCUCGAACCCCUCCGGGGGGUCGGCGUUGGGGAUCGGCCCUUUACGGGGCCGGCCCCGAAAUACAGUGGCGGUCUCGCCGCAGCCUCUCCUGCGCAGUAGUUUGCACACUCGCAUCGGGAGCGCGGCGCGUCCACAGCCGUUAAACACCCCAAACUUCUGAAAUGUUGACCUCGGAUCAGGUAUGAAUACCCGCUGAACUUAAGCAUAUCAAUAAGCGGAGGA